CACGUAGGGCGCAAGCGUUGUCCGGAAUUAUUGGGCGUAAAGAGCUCGUAGGCGGUCUGUUGCGUCCGCUGUGAAAACCCGGGGCUUAACCCUGGGCUGGCAGUGGAUACGGACAGACUAGAGGUAGGUAGGGGAGAAUGGAAUUCCCGGUGUAGCGGUGAAAUGCGCAGAUAUCGGGAGGAACACCGGUGGCGAAGGCGGUUCUCUGGGCCUGUACUGACGCUGAGGCGCGAAAGCUAGGGGAGCAAACGGG
rnacentral:rRNA from 1 species